UAGGGAAUCUUCCGCAAUGGGCGAAAGCCUGACGGAGCAACGCCGCGUGAGUGAUGAAGGUCUUCGGAUCGUAAAACUCUGUUAUUAGGGAAGAACAACUGUGUAAGUAACUAUGCACGUCUUGACGGUACCUAAUCAGAAAGCCACGGCUAACUACGUGCCAGCAGCCGCGGUUAUACGUAGGUGGCAAGCGUUAUCCGGAAUUAUUGGGCGUAAAGCGCGCGUAGGCGGUUUUUUAAGUCUGAUGUGAAAGCCCCCGGCUCAACCGUGGAGGGUCAUUGGAAACUGGAAAACUUGAGUGCAGAAGAGGAAAGUGGAAUUCCAUGUGUAGCGGUGAAAUGCGCAGAGAUAUGGAGGAACACCAGUGGCGAAGGCGACUUUCUGGUCUGUAACUGACGCUGAUGUGCGAAAGCGUGGGGAUCAAACAGG
rnacentral:rRNA from 1 species